rnacentral:misc_RNA from 1 species
GAUGAAGAACGUAGUGAAAUGCGAUAAGUAAUGUGAAUUGCAGAAUUCAGUGAAUCAUCGAAUCUUUGAACGCACAUUGCGCCCCUUGGUAUUCCGAGGGGCAUGCCUGUUCGAGCGUCAUUAUAACCCCUCAAGCUUAGCUUGGUGUUGGGGCCUGCUGUAAUAGAGCAGCCCUUAAAAUCAGUGGCGGUGCUAUUAGGCUCUAAGCGUAGUAAUUCUUCUCGCUAUAGGGUUCUGGUGGAUGCUUGCCAUUAACCUCUAAUUUUCUAUGGUUGACCUCGGAUCAGGUAGGGAUACCCGCUGAACUUAAGCAUAUCAAUAAGCGGAGGA